UUGGCAGCUGCAGCCUGCUGCAGGAACACUGGUAGCUGGGUAGUGGUCUGGAGAAACGAAGACUCUGAAGAAAUGAGGGACCAUCAGCCAGGAAGCCUUUCCCACUUCCAGGGGGCAGUCCCGUAGAGGAGUCCUACCACUGAAGAUCCUGGCCUGCUGUCUGGAUGUUUCCUUGACUGAUGGGAUGAGCAGGGCCACGAGGCCCUUGAGCAGAGGCAAGCGCACAUUGUAGUGGAUCAGGUCCUUUAUCAGCUCGAUUGCUGGAGGAGGAGAGAGAUGCUGGAGAGGCCCUUUGUCCUUCCAAAUCCACCAUAUCUUUUACCCUGCUGUCUCCAUCAUCUCUCCUAAUACCUUCUGCUGCCCAGCACUGGCUGUCACUGAUUAUACCCAAAGAGAAAGAAGCAGGGCCCUGCUCACGUUCCUCUCUGAGACAUUUGCUCUCUGAGCAAGCACUUUACGGACUCAUCCCCAUCCCUUGGCCAAUCCGAAUGGACCAUGCGCUUGCUACAAGACCAGUACUGAGGGGAUAGAGGUGUCAGUGCUCAGCAGAUGUAAGGUGGAUGUCAAAGAGGAAAGAGCCAUCUCUCAAAUCCAGAGAGCAACUACAGAAUCCACAGCCUGAAGCUGAGAGAGGUGGUGAAGAGGGCAGAAGCAGGUGCCAGGAGCUCCUGGAGAGGUUAAAUGCACUGACCAGCACUGCUGUCCCUCCCACCCCCGGGGGCACCCACACUCAAACCCUGCAC